GCCAAGUCUGGUGGCACAUACCUAUAGUCCCAGCUACUCAGGAGGCUGAGUCAGGAGGAUCACUUGAGUCCAAAAGUUCUGGGCUGUAGAAUGCCAUGCCAAUCAGGUGUCCAAACUAAGUUUGGCAUCAUCCAAGAACUAGGAGACUGCCAGGUUGCCUAGGAAGGGGUGAACCAGUCCAGGUCAGAACUGAGCAGGUCAAACUCCCAUGAUGAUCUGUUUUGGCAUUGUGCCUGUGAACAGCCACUGCACUCCAGCUUGGUGAUACAGUGAGACCCCCAUGUCU
rnacentral:SRP_RNA from 1 species